rnacentral:rRNA from 1 species
GAUGAACGCUGGCGGCGUGCCUAAUACAUGCAAGUAGAGCGAACAGACGAGGAGCUUGCUCCUUUGAUGUUAGCGGCGGACGGGUGAGUAACACGUAGGUAACCUACCUAUAAGACUGGGAUAACUUCGGGAAACCGGAGCUAAUACCGGAUAAUAUUUCGAACCGCAUGGUUCGAUAGUGAAAGAUGGCUUUGCUAUCACUUAUAGAUGGACCUGCGCCGUAUUAGCUAGUUGGUAAGGUAACGGCUUACCAAGGCAACGAUACGUAGCCGACCUGAGAGGGUGAUCGGCCACACUGGAACUGAGACACGGUCCAGACUCCUACGGGAGGCAGCAGUAGGGAAUCUUCCGCAAUGGGCGAAAGCCUGACGGAGCAACGCCGCGUGAGUGAUGAAGGUCUUCGGAUCGUAAAACUCUGUUAUUAGGGAAGAACAAACGUGUAAGUAACUGUGCACGUCUUGACGGUACCUAAUCAGAAAGCCACGGCUAACUACGUG